UAAAACUUCCGUUGGUGAGGAAGAUCUAUUCUGAGAGUUACUGUUCCAGGUAAUUGACGUAUUUAAUCAGAAAAGUCCACGCUUACUACGUGUCAGKCAGCGCGGUAAUACGUAGGUGGUCAAGCGUGUCCGGGAUUUAUUGGGCGUAAAGUCGAGYGUCAGGUCGGUUUUUUUAAGUCUGAUGUGAAAGUCUUUCGGCUCAAUCYGAAGAAGUGCAUCGGAAACUGGGAAACUUGAGUGCAGAAGAGGAUCAGUGGAACUYCAUGUGUAGCGGUGAAAUGCGUAGAUAUAUGGAAGAACAYYCAGUGGCGAAGGCGGCUGUCUGGUCUGUAACUGACGCUGAGGCUCGAAAGUAUGGGUAGUAAWCAGGAUUAGAUAYUCUGGUAGUCUAUAUCGUAAACGAUGAAUGCUAAGUGUUGGAGGGUUUCCGYCCUUCAGUGCUGCAGCUAACGUAUUAAGUAUUCCGUCUGGGGAGUACGGCYGCAAGGCUGAAACUCAAAGGAAUUGACGGGGGYCCGCAUAAGCGGUGGAGUAUGUGGUUUAAUUYGAAGCUACGCGAAGAAUCUUAYCAGGUCUUGACAUACUAUGCAAAUCUAAGAGAUUAGACGUUYCCUUCGGGGACAUGGAUACAGGUGGUGCAUGGUUGUCGUCAGCUCGUGUCGUGAGAUGUUGGGUUAAGUCCCGCAACGAGCGCAACCCUUAUUAUCAGUUGCCAGCAUUAAGUUGGGCACUCUGGUGAGACUGCCGGUGACAAACCGGAGGAAGGUGGGGAUGACGUCAAAUCAUCAUGCCCCUUAUGACCUGGGCUACACACGUGCUACAAUGGAUGGUACAACGAGUUGCGAACUCGCGAGAGUAAGCUAAUCUYUUAAAGCCAUUCUCAGUUCGGAUUGUAGGCUGCAACUYGCCUACAUGAAGUCGGAAUCGCUAGUAAUCGCGGAUCAGCAUGCCGCGGUGAAUACGUUCCCGGGCCUUGUACACACCGCCCGUCACACCAUGAGAGUUUGUAACACCCAAAGUCGGUGGGGUAACYUUUAGGAACUCWGCYUKCGUAAGGGGU
rnacentral:rRNA from 1 species